UUCCUCUAGGUGGUUUUGGCAUCACACACCUCCACUGAUAAACCGCUGGCUGUCAAAAUCCUAAUCAAGAACCGGAAAGACUACAAAGAUGCCCUCAACGAGAGCCACAUACUGAAGGAAGUUUGUGCCAGCCCAUUCUGCAUUCGUGCAUAUGGUACCUUCCAGACAAAUAUAAGUGACUCUACCUUUUAUAAAUUUUGUGAAAGAGGUUGGUGUUAAAUGGUUAUCCUCUCAGAGUACAACUGCUGCACAUUUUUUGUUAUGGAAUACCUGAGUGGUGGAGACCUGGAGAACUUCUAAAAGGAAAGGGCACCAUUAACUAUUGAGAUGAUAAGCUGCUGCCGCCACUCAAAUCAUGAUCGUGACCGUCUACACAAGGGCUCACUCUGAUGGAUGUUUGAGGUCACAGAAAGAAGAUAUUCCAUGUUUCAGGGUCCUUUUACAUGCAUACACAAGUUUUAUCAAUGCCUGUUCCCCUGUUCCGAUGUGUAGGAUUCAUUGCUCUAGUUUUACUUGGAAAAUGCGUUCAUUGUACGGAAUAAAGGAGUAUUUGCAGAACUAGAAA